GACAGCAGUCGCCACGGUAAUACGGAGGGGGCUAGCGUUGUUCGGAAUUACUGGGCGUAAAGCGCACGUAGGCUGCUUUGUAAGUUAGAGGUGAAAGCCUGGGGCUCAACCCCAGAAUUGCCUUUAAGACUGCAGAGCUAGAACGUCGGAGAGGUGAGUGGAAUUCCGAGUGUAGAGGUGAAAUUCGUAGAUAUUCGGAAGAACACCAGUGGCGAAGGCGGCUCACUGGACGACUGUUGACGCUGAGGUGCGAAAGCGUGGGGAGCAAACAGGAUUAGAUACCCCGGUAGUCCCUGUCUCUUAUAC
rnacentral:rRNA from 1 species